AUACGGAGGGCGCGAGCGUUAUUCGGAAUCAUUGGGCGUAAAGCGCGUGUAGGCGGCUGGGUAAGUCGGAUGUGAAAGCCCGGGGCUCAACUCCGGAAUUGCAUACGAAACUGCCCAGCUAGAGUCUCGGAGAGGAGGGCGGAAUUCCCGGUGUAGAGGUGAAAUUCGUAGAUAUCGGGAGGAACACCAGUGGCGAAGGCGGCCCUCUGGACGAUGACUGACGCUGAGACGCGAAAGCGUGGGGAGCAAACAGGAUUAGAAACCCCGGUAGUCC
rnacentral:rRNA from 1 species